AACGUAUGUCCCGAGCGUUAUCCGGAUUUACUGGGCGUACAGCGUGUUCAGGCGGUCUAGCAAGUCGGGCAUGAAAUCUCUCGGCUCAACCGGGAGGGGUUGUCCGAUACUGCUGGGCUUGAGGGCAGCAGAGGGUGGUGGAAUUCCGGGUGUAGUGGUGAAAUGCGUAGAUAUCCGGAGGAACACCAGUGGCGAAGGCGGCCACCUGGGCUGUACCUGACGCUCAGGUGCGAAAGCUAGGGGAGCGAACAGG
rnacentral:rRNA from 1 species